rnacentral:rRNA from 1 species
UACGGAGGGUGCAAGCGUUAUCCGGAUUCACUGGUUAAAGGGUGCGUAGGAGGGCAGGUAAGUCAGUGGUGAAAUCUCCGAGCUUAACUUGGAACUGCCGUUGAUGACUAUCUGCCUUGAUAUUGUGGAGGUGAGCGGAAUGAUGUCAUGUAGCGGUGAAAUGCUUAGAUAUGACAUAGAACACCAAUUGCGAAGGCAGCUCG